GUGCUUGCUUCGACAGCACAUAUACAAAAAUUGGAACAAUACAGAGAUGAUUAGCAUGGCCCCUACACAAGGGUGACACGCAGAUUCGUGAACAGUUCCAUAUUUUC
rnacentral:snRNA from 1 species